rnacentral:lncRNA from 10 species
UUAUGGGUAGAAUCUUCUAGCCUCUCUUCCCGUUCCCCAAUAUCUCUUUUAACUCUUACCUAAUCUGGCAUUAAACGCGGUUCCAUAAUUUCUAGGUUUUUUUCUUCUACUACACAGCUGUGUAGUUCCGUUAUGGCUUUAUCUCCAUCAACAGCAAUGCCUAGGAGGGAGUCAAACAGAUUCCAAGUGAGAAAAGGAGUUAACAUGCCAUUGCUGCUUUGAAGAUGGAAGGAGCCUGUGGCGAGGAUAUGAAGGGCCUCUAGAAGCUGUGAGCAGCCCCCAGCUCACAGCCAGCAAGCAAACAAGGACCUCAGCUCAGCAACAGCAAGGACGUGAAUCCUGCCAAUAACAGAAAUGAGCUUGAAAGAAGACACCAAGCUCCAGAACAUGGUGAAACUAGGAGGAGCAGAGAUGACCUGAUCCCUGAAGUGAACUGCUCAGCUAUUCUGUGUACCUCAGGAGGUCUGCAAGUGUGUGGUUAGGUAAAAACUGAGCUGUGCAAACUCACUGUAUCCAAGCUCUUCUCAUGAGAGAGCAGAACAACCUGGCAAGCUUAAAGGCAAGUGUUUUCGUUCUUUUAAUUAAAUAGGCUGUGACAAAAUUAACAAUAAAACUAGCCCAGAACCAACCAGCCCGGUAAGUGUCGUGCAAAUCUUGCAGUAACAAAAGACCAUCUGAGAGACUACACGUUGGUCUCCAGUCCUAGCAAGCGUCCCAUUCUCUCCACAUUCUUAUCAAUUGUAGCUUGACAUGUUAUCUCCUUGGCACAUUCCAUAGGAAACCAGCCUCUUUCUCCAUCUCGUAGUCGUUCCCCCUCAUACCAGCCUGUGAAAAAGAACAGAGUCCACACCAAACAACAAGUAUUUGGAGUGUGCCAGGCUCCAAGGAUAUGAAAAAGCUGAGAGGCAGCAUCCCUCCCCAGGCUAAGUGCUACGGUGAGAAGAGAAAGUGGGACAGGGAAAGCUUUCGAGGGGGAAUGAAUGACAUGGCAGGGAAAGAACGUGAGCAGAGGCCCUGAAGUGAGAAGGCUGAGAGUAUUUGAACCUGGGCUGAGCUGGGAAAGGAGAUGCUUUGGGUAAAGGAUAGCAGGAAGAAUGCUAUUUUUGAAAGGACGAAUAUUUAGAGAUAAGAACUGGGUCACUGAGGGACUGGGGAAAAAAGAAAACGUCAUGGUUUAGCCUUAGAGAUGAGAAGACAGUACAUAUAUGUGAUCUCAAACAUUAACAUGUCAAGAUUUGGAAUAUGGGCAAUGAUGACAAAAUGACACUCCUCGGGUCUAUAGCACUCUGCAUCCUGGACCACGAGUGUCCCAUAAGAACGCUCCCACUCACCAUCGCUGACACGUUGAUAGAUGAGGACGACGUCAGCCACCUGCAGGGAGAGUUCAUCUGGCUGCUUAGCAGUAAAUGACCUAACGAUUUCCACCUGGGUCAGUGCUGAGGCCAAAAGAGGACAUACUAAGUUUCCAGUAGCAGAGAAAAAACAUGUGCAAUCCAAUAAUGUACACUUACUUAUUUUUCUCUGCAAUUCAGGGCCAGCAUUGAGAGAAACAAGUUGGGCUUCUAAUAAAAAGCAGAACAUCUUUUCUAGCAACUCCCUUGCUUGGCUAUAAGCUUUAGAAUUUUAGAAGCUCAGAUUUGAGAGGCCUUUUAUGAUGCAUGAUUCCCCUCAAUAACAGGUUGAUCAGGAGUCAUUAGUCAUGUCACACAAUGGAACAGAAAACAGCCACUCUGCAUUAGGGAAACUGAGACAUGAAAGAGUUGCUGAUGUGCCAAGGCCAUGCAAAAUCUGCAACAGACACAGUUCUCCUGGCUCUCAUCAGAGUGUCUCCCCAUCCCAACAGCAGCACAUGAAAGUUUCCAAAAAAAAGUUUAGAAAUAAAAUGAGCUCCAACCAAAAGCUGAGAAGUCAUGUUAGACCUCCUCAGAAAUGCUGACAUGUGGCCGGGCACGGUGGCUCACGCCUGUAAU